UGGGGAAUAUUGGACAAUGGACCAAAAGUCUGAUCCAGCAAUUCUGUGUGCACGAUGACGUUUUUCGGAAUGUAAAGUGCUUUCAGUUGGGAAGAAAAAAAUGACGGUACCAACAGAAGAAGUGACGGCUAAAUACGUGCCAGCAGCCGCGGUAAUACGUAUGUCACAAGCGUUAUCCGGAUUUAUUGGGCGUAAAGCGCGUCUAGGUGGUUAUGUAAGUCUGAUGUGAAAAUGCAGGGCUCAACUCUGUAUUGCGUUGGAAACUGUAUGACUAGAGUACUGGAGAGGUAAGCGGAACUACAAGUGUAGAGGUGAAAUUCGUAGAUAUUUGUAGGAAUGCCGAUGGGGAAGCCAGCUUACUGGACAGAUACUGACGCUAAAGCGCGAAAGCGUGGGUAGCAAACAGGAUUAGAUACCCUGGUAGUCCACGCCGUAAACGAUGAUUACUAGGUGUUGGGGGUCGAACCUCAGCGCCCAAGCUAACGCGAUAAGUAAUCCGCCUGGGGAGUACGUACGCAAGUAUG
rnacentral:rRNA from 1 species